CCGAGCUAUACACCCCGGCAUUUUUUGCCAUCCUCCUGCCUCAACCUCCGGAGCCGGGGGAUUACUGGCAGGUGCUGCAGCACUCAGCUGGUUCUACCAUGUGCUGCUCACCUUGCUGUGCCACCUUGGCCCAGGAGUGCCUGAGGGCCCUUGGCAUCUGCUCUCAGCCCCUCUCCCCCACCCCAGCCUGCUCUGACCCCUAGGGUCUCCUCAUAUGUGAUCUAGGCGGGGUGACCUCUUUACAGGACCCAAGUUCGAGAGAGGCCAAGCUGCCUACUGCAUCUACGUGGAAGAGCACUCAAAAGUGAGCAUUUCAAGAAUGGGAUGGCAGGGGUGACUUCGUGCCUUGACCUCUGAGCGUCAAGACUGUGUGUGUAAGACGUAGGGUCAGCGUGCGAGACCCAGAAGGAGGAGGCUUCGCUCAUGGACAGGCAGGAAGCAGGGACCAGAGACUAGGGUCUUGUCCUGAUUUCUCACCUGCUUGUCCCCCACUGUCCCCCUGCUUGGACUCUGGGCAAGCCAGUGGCUUCGGCUCCUUUCCCAUGCGUUUGACCAGCAAGUGCCAGCCGCCUCUCACCCAACCACGAGAAAGGACGGGGGCUCAGCCAAUGGCCUCGAGGGUCCCCACGGGGCGCCAACUGCAACUGACUGACAGGAGCAAAGAGGGCAGUAGCCGUCACUGCAGUGGCCUAGGUGUGCUUCUAUGGCAGGGUGCUGCCCGGCUGCGAAGUCCUGUUUAUAAAAAAUGACAUGGACAGGAUCAGGUGGGUUAUCAAAUGAUACGCACAAUGUGAGCUUGAUUUGGGGAAAACAAAACUAAAGAAUGUUUGCAGAUGCAUUUUUUUUUUAAUUGGCAGGGCCGGGGCUGGGGGUGGCUCAGUGGGACAGUACUUCCUAGGUUCCAUCCCAGCCACAAAUUUUUUUUUUAAUUAAAACAAUUUUAACUCUGUGUAUUUUUUUUUUGUACUGGGGACUUCACUUAGGGGCACUCGCCCACUGAGCCACAUCCCAGCCCUAUUUUGUCUUUUAUUUAGAGACAGGGUCUCACUGAGUGGCUCAGCACCUCGCUUUUGCUGAGGCUGACUUUGAACUGUGGUCCUCCUGCCUCAGCCUCCAGAGCCGCCGGAAUCACAGGCGUGGGCCACCGCGCCUGCUUUGUGUUUUGUUCUUGCGUCUCUUUUUCAAACGCUUCAUCAAGAGCUGGCAUCGCUUCUUACCAGAGAGACACCAGGACAUCCCCUCCAUGUUGAGCUGCUGGGAAAGAGCAGGGAGCUCUUUCCCAGGGUGGGGUAGCCCCUGGGGGUCUAGGGGCCAGCCCGCCCUGACGGACCAAGCCUGUCCUGAUGCCCGUUAUGCCUGGCAUUGAUGGGCAUCGCAGCCCAC
rnacentral:lncRNA from 1 species